UAAGGUGCAGUUGUGCUUUCCUGGGAAAGCUAAUAUAUAAAAUACAGCCUCUGCCAGCACAUCAUCAAUGCAAUGGCAUAGAAAGAGGAUAACAUUGAAUGACAUCCAUAGCCAAUAAUAGCUGCUUCAAGCAUCCUGUAGAGCAGUGUAUUAAUUUAGUCACCAGCUUUCUGGGUUUGUAUAAUAUUAUUUUCUUCACACCUGGAUGAGAUAGACUUGGGAUGAGUUGGAAUUCUUUGCAGAACUGUGGUUAGCACUUAUUUUUUUGCACUUUUUUUGAAACUCAGCAAAGAAUGUCGGAUGUGGUAUACUUUAUUUGAUUUUUAUUAAUAAAUCACACCAUUUAUAGCUAAGUAACUUUUUAAGGCCUUUCAAGGCACUAUCUGAUUUUUCAGCUGUCAUUGUGUUGUUCUGUCUAGGUAUGUAUUAGCUUCCUCUCCCCCAGGUCUUGCCUUUUGUAAAGCAGAUACUGUUGUGCACACAUAUCUGUGCAGUAUCUUCCACCUCAUGAAAUAAAGAAAAGAGUCAUGACUGGGAUCCCAGCUUUCACUGACCCACUGCCCAGUAGGUAGUGUGCUGUGGACACACACAACAUUAUAGAGGGUCUGGGCAGCGUGUUGCCUACAGGUCAUGGAUUGAAGACUGUGGCUGAGUCUCUUCCAGUGUCUGGAUCCCGCCUGCCAAAGCAACAGAGAUCACCUUCUGCUGAACUUGAACAUACAUGUGGCAAUAACAGCUAUAAUGGGAGCUUCAGCUGUGUAGUCUUUUCUUUUAAAGGAACAGUAUGCUGCAGGAGGAUAUACUCAUCAGGAAAUGAGGAACAUGUUCACUUAUGCUAUGGUAUGGAUUGUGGGAUUGUGAGUUUGUUUUAUUUUUAACCUUGCAAGAAGUUUCUAUACCAGCUGCUAAAUAUGAAUAUUGCACAUUAAUAUUCACAGAGUGAACUAGUACUGUUUCACUUCAUGUCUGAAUACUAGUAAUUUCUUGGUGUAAUUUGCUUAGGUAAAGCCUGAAAAAUCUUCUCUAUGAUGAAGCCCUUAAAAAAACAAACAUACCUUGGUCAAAACAUCAGAAUACUUCUCUCUGCCCCCCCCCCCAAAAAAAAAGUUUAUCUGUUACUAAAUAUAUUUUCUGUAACAGAUCUAGUUAGCAAGUAAACCCAUUAAUUUUUCUUCAGGUUAAUACCUAAUUGCUAAG
rnacentral:lncRNA from 1 species